rnacentral:tRNA from 1 species
UGGAGACGUCGCAUAGUCAGGUCUAGUGCGCGGCCCUGCUAAGGCCGUGAAGGGGUCACACCCUUCCGUGGGUUCAAAUCCCACCGUCUCCGCCCA